AUGGAGGUCUAUAGUUCUUGGAAGUGGGCCAGGGGCUUCCGGCAAGGGCAAGUGAGCUAGAAUUUCAAGUUUCUGGGAAGCAGCUUUUAGGAAGUUAACCUGGAGGGUGGAGGGCGGCUCAGGAACGCCGAGUCUCGCUGGCGCCGUGCCGUUUCCGGGUGUUGGGGAGGCUCGCGGGCCGAGCCUCAUGGGUCCUUGUGCGUUUGUCCGGCAGUGCGGUUGCCUCCGUCUCCGGAGCCCGAGGACCCCGAAGGCCGAGCGCCCGCUCCCCGGGCCUGCUGUGUGGAGCGCGCACACCCGAGGGAACUGGAUGGCAGAUUACUGGCAGAGUAUUAAAGCCGGAGCAGCAACCCACGCUGAGGUUGCAAAUCAGUGAAGGGUUGCUGGUACGUGAUGACCAACUGCUGAGCAUUGGAGCACACAGCAAGCAGAGUGUCGGCCAGUCAUGAGUUGAGGCUAUCCUCUGAUCAGAACUGUUGUCGUCUGCCUCCAGCGUCCGCUGAGCACCUCCGUCCAUUCCCGUGGGGUUUGCGUGCUGCAGAAUGGUGAUAAGUACAGUCCUGAAGCGGUGGCGGCGUCAGCUUCAAAGAGGUUCUUCUCCUAGAGGAUGGUCAGCUGUGCCUGCAGCAGGGGCAGUGAGACGUCCCAAGGGCCAGUGGCCACCAUCAGUUUGGACUCGAAACCUAAUAUAGUCAAUAAUGUAAUAACUUUGUAUGUGGUGAGCAUUUUGUAAUGUACAUAAAUGUGGAAUGCUAUGUUGUAUACCUGAAGCUAAUAAUGCGUCGACUGUACUUAAGUUAGGAAAACAACCUCUAAGGUUCAAUACUUGAUGUAGAAAUAUGCUUAAUGCUGAGAUUCAGAGGCCAUUCUUAUCAAUAAUAGAGCCAAGAAAUGUAUUUGCAUCAUUAAAUUCAUGAGUGUUCUAGUGUUUUCCUUUGUUCCAAAGGAACUUCUGUAUUUAGUAUAAAUUUGUUACACUGGAUGAGAGUCUUGAGUUCUUGAAGCUGGAAACUUUUCCUCUCAAAAUUGGUAACUCCAUGCAAUUAAACUGACACUGUAAUAAA